rnacentral:lncRNA from 1 species
CUCCCACCCAUGCUGCCACGCAUUUUAGUUCUCAGCUCCCAUUCUCCAAAUUCCCAGUCUCUGAAAGACUGACACACAGGGUCACUGAGGUUCCUCUGGGCAGGACAAGUCUCUGAAAUGCGAUCACAUUCAGGUGGGAAUUCUCCUUUUGAAUUUGGGCCUCUAAUUCGUGAUUCUCACAGGGGACUAUGGUUCGCCUGACCCUGGGGAGGGCCAGGAUGUGGCCACAGUUUGUUUUGCUUUGCUCAGUGCUGUCAGAGGGUGGGAAGGAGUAGAGCAGACGGUGUAUUUUUGGAUGCAGCUGCUCUUUGCCUGGGGAAGUACAGAGGGUGGUUUCAACUUGUCCUGGAGGUCACACCAUCACAUUUUCAUCAGCACUCUCGUGGGGCCUCACGGUGACUUGGUGAGGGCAUGAAGGUGACCAGAGAUGACCACCCGACUCUCCACCAGCUGAGAUGAGAAAACCAGAUUCCAGUAAGGGCUGCUGCUUGGGACCAACUGGGCAACCAGUCACCUCAGCCUCAUUCUGAGCAGCUUGAUGGCUCCAAGCCGCCUAAGGAUGGGGUUCCACUGAGCCCAAAGGGCCAGGCUUCAGAAUGGUGAUGGCACUGACUGGUGUCAUACAGGAACCAAAGUGCUAUGUUCACUUAGAAGGCACUCAAGCCUCUGGAGAAACAUGAGCAGUCUGGUUUUUAUGUUUUCCUUUUUAGUGAAAAUGCCUAGAAUGGAAUUUUAUUUAGAAAAGUCUAAAAAAUAGAGAGGAACAAAGAAGGUGGAGUAGAGGAAGGCUGCACCUUCCAGUUGCUCAGCCGCUUGGUACUGCUUCUCCAGCGAGCUGGGUGACUGAGGGCAUUGACUGAAAUUCAAUGUGGGACUGUCAGAGACUCAGAGAGACCCGGACAGUCUGGUGUUUUGAACAAGAGAGUACGUUGCAGCGAAGCCAGUGGUGGCAGCAAUAGUGGGUCACCACAGAUGGGAGGAGUGAUACAAA